rnacentral:rRNA from 1 species
CCUACGGGGUGCAGCAGUGGGGAAUAUUGGACAAUGGGGGGAACCCUGAUCCAGCCAUGCCGCGUGUGUGAAGAAGGCCCUCGGGUUGUAAAGCACUUACAGUGAGGAAGAACGCCUGGUGGUUAAUACCCAUCAGGAAAGACAUCACUCACAGAAGAAGCACCGGCUAACUCCGUGCCAGCAGCCGCGGUAAUACGGAGGGUGCGAGCGUUAAUCGGAAUUACUGGGCGUAAAGCGCGCGUAGGUGGCUUGAUAAGCCGGUUGUGAAAGCCCCGGGCUCAACCUGGGAACGGCAUCCGGAACUGUCAAGCUAGAGUGCAGGAGAGGAAGGUAGAAUUCCCGGUGUAGCGGUGAAAUGCGUAGAGAUCGGGAGGAAUACCAGUGGCGAAGGCGGCCUUCUGGACUGACACUGACACUGAGGUGCGAAAGCGUGGGUAGCAAACAGGAUUAGAUACCCCAGUAGUC